AGGUGAUCCUGCGGAAGGAUCAUUG
rnacentral:rRNA from 1 species